rnacentral:rRNA from 1 species
AUUUUAUUAAUUUACAUAUCGUCGUAGUUUGAAUAUUUUCGUAGAAUUUUAAUAUUCAGAAUUUUUUAAGAAAAAUUAAAUCAGAUCAAGGUGUAGUUUAUAGGUAAGAAGAAAUGGGUUACAAUUAAAUAAUUAAAUUUGGAUAAUUGAUUGAAAAUUAAUUUGAAAUUGGAUUUGAAAGUAAUUUUAAUAAAAAUAUUAAAAUGAUUUUAGCUCUAAAAUAAGUACAUAUCGCCCGUCACUUUCACUAUAAAGUGGAAUAAGUCGUAACAUAGUAGGUGUACUGGAAAGUGUACCUAGAAAGGCAAAUUAGAGCUUGAUAGAAAGCAUUUUAUUUACAUUAAAAAGUUUAUUGUGAGAUUCAAUAUAAUUUGAUAAAAAAUUAUUAUUUAAUUUAUUUAUUUAGGAAUUAUUUUUUUAAAAAUAUUUUUAGGUUUAAUUAUUUAUUUAGAAUAAAUUUAUUUAUUAUAGUUUAUUAGUAUUGUGAAAGAAUUUUGAAUUUAAUUUAAAAGAAUAAUUUAUUUUUAGUACCUUGUGCAUCAGGGUUAAUUAAAUAAGGGUUUUUAAUUGAACUUUCUUGAAUUUAAAAGAGUUAUAUAAAUAUUUUUUUUAAUGUAUCAUAAUUAUUAUAAAUAUUUAUAUAGUAAUGAAACGUUAUUCGUUUUUAGAUAUAUCUAGUUUUUAAAGAAAUAAAUUUAAUUUAUUUAAUUUAUUAAUAUAAAAUUAAAUUUUUAAUUUUAUAUUAAAAUUAAUAAAUACUUUAAGGGAUGAGCUUUAAGGUAGAGUUUUAUAAAUAAAUAAAUUAGUUAAAUUAAUAGGAUUAAAAAUUUUCAUUUUUAGUAUGUUAUAAUUAAUUUAAUAUAGAUUAUGAUUUAUAUUUAUUUUAAAUUUUAUAUUUAAAUAUAAUUUAAAAUUUAAGUUUAAUUAGAAAUAAUGAUUAAAUUAGUAUAAUAUUUAUAUGUAUAUUUUAUUAUUGAAUAGAUUAUAUAAAGGAAUUCGGCAAAUAUAUUUUUCACCUGUUUAUAAAAACAUGGCUUGAUGAGUAAUAAUAUAUUAAGUCUAACCUGCCCUAUGAAAAUUUAAAUGGCCGCGGUAUUUUGACCGUGCAAAGGUAGCAUAAUCAUUUGUUUUUUAAUUGAAAGCUGGAAUGAAAGGUUGAAUGAGAAAAUAACUGUCUUUAUAUAAAUUUUAAAAUUUUAUUUUUAAGUUAAAAAGCUUAAAUAUUAUUUGAAGACGAGAAGACCCUAUAGAGUUUUAUAUUAAAUUUAUUUAAUAAAUUUAGAAUUAAUUAGUAUUAAUUAAUUAUAAUAUUUAAUUGGGGUGAUUGAAAAAUUUAUUUAACUUUUUUUUAUAUUAACAUAAAUUAAUGAUAAUAUGAUCCUUUAUUUAGAUUAAAAGAAUAAAUUACCUUAGGGAUAACAGCGUAAUUUUUUUUAAGAGUUCAAAUCAAAAAAAAAGAUUGCGACCUCGAUGUUGGAUUAAAAUAAAAGUUUGGUGUAGAAGCUAAAUUAUUUGGUCUGUUCGACCAUUAAAAUUUUACUUGAUCUGAGUUCAAACCGGUGUAAGCCAGGUUGGUUUCUAUCUCUAAUUAGUUAAAAUAUUUUAGUACGAAAGGACCAAAUAUUUAAUUAAGAAUUUUAUAUUAGAAUAAAAUUGUUAUUUUGGCAGAAUAGUGCAAUAGAUUUAGAAUCUUUAUAUGUAAUUUUUUACAAAUAAUACUUGUUAAUAAAAGAUUUAAUUUUAAUAAUAUUUUCUAGAGUAAUUUUAAUAUUAUGUGUUAUAAUUGGGGUGGCUUUUUUAACUUUAUUAGAACGUAAGAUUUUAGGAUAUAUUCAAAUUCGUAAGGGACC